rnacentral:rRNA from 1 species
GUCCACGCCGUAAACGGUGGAUGCUGGAUGUGGGCCCGUUCCACGGGUUCCGUGUCGGAGCUAACGCGUUAAGCAUCCCGCCUGGGAGUACGGCCGCAAGGCUAAACUCAAGAAUUGACGGGCCCGCACAAGCGGCGGAGCAUGCGGAUUAAUUCGAUGCAACGCGAAGAACCUUACCUGGGCUUGACAUGUUCCCGACAGCCGUAGAGAUAUGGCCUCCCUUCGGGGCGGGUUCACAGGUGGUGCAUGGUCGUCGU